AAUUUUGGACCAGUCUGUUUUAUGUUGACGAUGUUUAUCAUCAUUGCCUUGCGCCGACCCUGUGAUUCUGUUCUUCCUGUUCGCGUACCGAAAUUCCCCCGGUGGUUUUGUCGGUACCACUGUGUACCUGGUGGGCAUCUCCGUGGUCAAGCCUUCCCACAGGUUAUGGGCCCAGUGUAGUGAAAGAACCGGAAAGUUUGGCUCGGAAAGUCGCGGUGUGUGCAAAUCGCUUCGUGAACAUUUAUCCUGUGUGGUGCCGGUCGGUGGGAGCCAAUCGUUUAAUUGCGCUCGUUUUUUGGCUGAAGGUCCAGCUGCUGUGUGAGAAGAACAGCUGCGACCGGGACUGUGAAGUGUUUGGUGUGGUCGUUGGAGCCGUUUGUUCGUCUGGUUUCAAAUCCAGAACGGCGUCCAGAGUGCCGGUAAGGCUGUGAUUAGACUGCACACCAUUUUGUCCCGCGGAGCCGAA